GAAACCAACAGGGAUUGCCUUAGUAACGGCGAGUGAAGCGGCAACAGCUCAAAUUUGAAAUCUGGCCCUUGGGUCCGAGUUGUAAUUUGUAGAGGAUGCUUUUGGUGCGGUACUUUCCGAGUUCCCUGGAACGGGACGCCUUAGAGGGUGAGAGCCCCGUACGGUUGGAUACCUAGCCUCUGUAAAGCUCCUUCGACGAGUCGAGUAGUUUGGGAAUGCUGCUCUAAAUGGGAGGUAAAUUUCUUCUAAAGCUAAAUAUUGGCCAGAGACCGAUAGCGCACAAGUAGAGUGAUCGAAAGAUGAAAAGCACUUUGAAAAGAGGGUUAAAUAGCACGUGAAAUUGUUGAAAGGGAAGGAUUUAUGACCAGACUUUUUCUAGGCGGAUCAUCCGGUGUUCUCACCGGUGCACUUCGCCUAGUUGAGGCCAGCAUCGGUUUCUAUAGAGGGAUAAAAACAGUAGGAAUGUGGCUCCUCCGGGAGUGUUAUAGCCUAUUGUAUAAUACCUUUACGGGGACCGAGGUACGCGCUCUGCAAGGAUGCUGGCAUAAUGGUCAUCAAUCACCCGUCUUGAAACACGGACCAAGGAGUCGAACAUUUGUGCGAGUGUUUGGGUGUUAAACCCUCACGCGUAAUGAAAGUGAACGGAGGUGAGAGCCCUUACGGGUGCAUCAUCGACCGAUCCUGAUGUUUUCGGAUGGAUUUGAGUAAGAGCAUAAAUGUUCGGACCCGAAAGAUGGUGAACUAUGCGUGGAUAGGGUGAAGCCAGAGGAAACUCUGGUGGAGGCUCGCAGCGGUUCUGACGUGCAAAUCGAUCGUCAAAUCUGCGCAUGGGGG
rnacentral:rRNA from 1 species